CAGGUGGUUGUCAGAUGGUGUAUGAUGGUAUAGGGUGGUUAUACAGGGAAGGGUUGUCAGAUGGUGAAGAUGGUACAGAUGGUGUAUGAUGGUCGAAGUGUGUCAGAUGGUUGUCAGAUGGUGUAUAAUGGUCGAAGUGUGUCAGAUGGUUGUCAGAUGGUGUAUGAUGGUGUAGGGUGGUUAUGCAGGGAAAGCUUGUCAGAUGGUGAAGAUGGAGCAGAUGGUGUAUGAUGGUCGAAGUGUGUCAGAUGGUUGUCAGAUGGUGUAUGAUGGUCGAAGUGUGUCAGAUGGUUGUCAGAUGGUGUAUG